UUAUGCUGAAGGCAGUAGUUUGCACCUGGGUGCUGCUGCCUUGGGUUGAAGGCUUACCAAGGUGUUUUCAUCCCUAAGUGAUGCCCUCUGCAGCAGUGUGGCUGUCACCCAGCCUUGAAAAGACCAGCAGUGCCCCAGAUCUCACUGGUGGAGGACCCAACUACCUGUGUAUGUAAGCCCUACAGACAUGGCACAGGAGCACAGCAAGGCUAUGGCCUCCCAGGAGCCUCCCAGGAACAUUCCUAUGCAGGAAACAUCCAAGAGAUCAUCAGUAGCUCCCUAUCAGAGCUGAUUAAUGACUGUUUCAAAGCAGAGGAAUUUUCUCAGUUUUAACUCAAGGCAUCAAGGACCAUCAACACUGUCCUUAGAGCUCUUGGGGUUUCGUACAAUAUUCCUACUUCAAAAGAAAAGAACAGAAAACUCCAAAACUGAAAGACAUAAAGAGACAAGAUCCUACUGCAAGAAGGCACAGACAGUACUCCAAAACUGGAAAAAAACUCUUUCCAGAACCAGAAGAUUGUCUGGAGGUGGGUGGGCCAGAGAUUUGUGCUGUUUCUUGAAGGAUACUGACCCAAACAUCAAAGGACUCAAGAAGCACCAAGGGCUCCCAGAAAGGCCAGGUGACCCAAGGCGUGGGAACAGCAAGUGGCACCUUUCACUCCUGGAACUGUUCUGCACUGCUGAGCCACCUCCUCCCCGCAGGCUGCCCAGGCAAAGGGCAGGACCUGUGCUCGCAGAGUGCCCAGCAGCCCUGUCAGGAUGGUUUUCAUGGGCAGCUGUGGAGAUGGUGGAGUUAUGA
rnacentral:lncRNA from 1 species